UGGGGAAUUUUGCGCAAUGACCGAAAGGUUGACGCAGCAACGCCGCGUGUAUGAUGAAGGCUUUCGGGUCGUAAAGUACUUUCAGUGGGGAAAAACUGCAUAAUCAGUAACUGGGUUAUGAUUGACGGUACCCACAGAAGCAGCCCCGGCUAACUCCGUGCCAGCAGCCGCGGUAAUACGGAGGGGGCAAGCGUUGUUCGGAGUCACUGGGCGUAAAGAGCUCGUAGGCGGCAGUGUAAGUCGGGAGUUAAAGGCAACAGCUCAACUGUUGUAAGGCUUCUGAAACUACAUUGCUAGAGUGCCAGAGAGGUAUGCGGAAUUCCCUGUGUAGCGGUGAAAUGCGUAGAUAUUGGGAAGAACACCGGUGGCGAAAGCGACUUGCUGGGCAGCAACUGACGCUGAGCGCGAAAGCCAGGGGAGCAAACG
rnacentral:rRNA from 1 species